rnacentral:rRNA from 1 species
CUACGGGUUGCUGCAGUGGGGAAUAUUGGGCAAUGGGCGCAAGCCUGACCCAGCAACGCCGCGUGAGGGAAGAAGGUUUUCGGAUUGUAAACCUCUGUCCUUGGGGACGAAGAAGUGACGGUACCCAAGGAGGAAGCCCCGGCUAACUACGUGCCAGCAGCCGUGGUAAUACGUAGGGAGCAAGCGUUGUCCGGAAUUACUGGGCGUAAAGGGUGCGUAGGCGGCAUAUUAAGUCAGGUGUGAAAUACUCGGGCUCAACCCGGGGGCUGCAUUUGAAACUGAUAUGCUUGAGUGUGAGAGAGGAAAGUGGAAUUCCUAGUGUAGCGGUGGAAUGCGUAGAUAUUAGGAGGAACACCAGUGGCGAAGGCGACUUUCUGGCUCAUAACUGACGCUGAGGCACGAAAGCGUGGGGAGCAAACAGGAUUAGAUACCCUCGUAGUC